GAUGAACGCUGGCGGCGUGCCUAAUACAUGCAAGUCGAGCGAACAGAUAAGGAGCUUGCUCCUUUGACGUUAGCGGCGGACGGGUGAGUAACACGUGGGUAACCUAUCUAUAAGACUGGAAUAACUCCGGGAAACCGGGGCUAAUGCCGGAUAACAUGUUGAACCGCAUGGUUCUACAGUGAAAGGCGGCUUUGCUGUCACUUAUAGAUGGACCCGCGCCGUAUUAGCUAGUUGGUGAGGUAACGGCUCACCAAGGCAACGAUACGUAGCCGACCUGAGAGGGUGAUCGGCCACACUGGAACUGGAACACGGUCCAGACUCCUACGGGAGCCAGAAGAAGGGAAUCUUCCGCAAUGGGCGAAAGCCUGACGGAGCAACGCCGCGUGAGUGAUGAAGGUCUUCGGAUCGUAAAACUCUGUUAUUAGGGAAGAACAAAUGCGUAAGUAACUGUGCGCGUCUUGACGGUACCUAAUCAGAAAGCCACGGCUAACUACGUG
rnacentral:rRNA from 1 species